UACGUAGGUGGCAAGCGUUGUCCGGAUUUACUGGGCGUAAAGAGCGCGCAGGCGGUCGUUCAAGUCGCGUGUGAAAGCCCCCGGCUCAACUGGGGAGGGUCACGCGAUACUGAUCGACUCGAAGGCAGGAGAGGGAAGUGGAAUUCCCGGUGUAGUGGUGAAAUGCGUAGAUAUCGGGAGGAACACCAGUGGCGAAGGCGGCCAGCUGGGCCAGGUCCGACACUGAGGCGCGAAAGCGUGGGGAGCAAACAGG
rnacentral:rRNA from 1 species